rnacentral:rRNA from 1 species
GACGAACGCUGGCGGCGUGCUUAACACAUGCAAGUCGAACGGACUUUAAUUUGGAGCUUGCUUCAAAUUGAAGUUAGUGGCGGACGGGUGAGUAACGCGUGGGCAACCUACCCUUAAGACCGGGACAACAGUUGGAAACGACUGCUAAUACCGGAUGAGCUUGCCGAGGGACAUCCCUUGGUAAGGAAAGAUGGCCUCUGAAUAUGCUAUCGUUUAAGGAUGGGCCCGCGUCUGAUUAGCUAGUUGGUAAGGUAACGGCUUACCAGGGCUUCGAUCAGUAGCCGGCCUGAGAGGGUGAUCGGCCACACUGGGACUGAGACACGGCCCAGACUCCUACGGGAGGCAGCGGUGGGGAAUCUUCCGCAAUGGGCGAAAGCCUGACGGAGCAACGCCGCGUGAAUGAUGAAGGCCUUCGGGUCGUAAAGUUCUGUCUUAUGGGACGAAUGUGCAGUAUGUGAAUAAUGUAUUGUAAUGACGGUACUAUAGGAGGAAGCCCCGGCUAACUACGUGCCAGCAGCCGCGGUAAUACGUAGGGGGCGAGCGUUGUCCGGAAUUACUGGGCGUAAAGGGCGUGUAGGUGGGUAAUUAAGUCAUGGGUGAAAACUGCGAGCUCAACUUGCAGACUGCCUAUGAAACUGGAUAUCUUGAGGGCAGGAGAGGAAAGUGGAAUUCCUAGUGUAGCGGUGAAAUGCGUAGAUAUUAGGAGGAACACCAGUGGCGAAGGCGACUUUCUGGACUGUCCCUGACACUGAGGCGCGAAAGCUAGGGGAGCGAACGGGAUUAGAUACCCCGGUAGUCCUAGCCGUAAACGAUGGGUACUAGGUGCGGGAGGUAUCGACCCCUUCCGUGCCAGAGUUAACACAUUAAGUACCCCGCCUGGGGAGUACGGCCGCAAGGUUGAAACUCAAAGGAAUUGAGGGGGCCCGCACAAGCGGUGGAGCAUGUGGUUUAAUUCGACGCAACGCGAAGAACCUUACCAGGGCUUGACAUCCUACGAACCUGGUGGGAACACUGGGGUGCCCCUUUCGGGGGGAAUGUAGAGACAGGUGGUGCACGGUUGUCGUCAGCUCGUGUCGUGAGAUGUUGGGUUAAGUCCCGCAACGAGCGCAACCCUUACUUUUAGUUGCCAGCGAGUAAUGUCGGGCACUCUAAAGGAACUGCCGGUGACAAACCGGAGGAAGGUGGGGAUGACGUCAAAUCAUCAUGCCCCUUAUGUCCUGGGCUACACACGUGCUACAAUGGACGGUACAGACGGAAGCGAGACCGCGAGGUGGAGCAAAUCCGAGAAAGCCGUUCACAGUUCGGAUUGUAGGCUGCAACUCGCCUACAUGAAGUCGGAAUCGCUAGUAAUCGCAGGUCAGCAUACUGCGGUGAAUACGUUCCCGGGCCUUGUACACACCGCCCGUCACACCACGAAAGUUGACAACACCCGAAGUCGAUGAGCUAACCGUAAGGAGGCAGUCGCCUAAGGUGGGGUUGAUGAUUGGGGUG